AAUCUGGCCGCGGUGAUUAUGAUUACAGAGGAUAUUGCUCUAAUAAGGGUUGUCGAUCAGGAUAUUUUUUUUAUGGCAACACAGGAUAUUGUAAUUAUGGCACUAGGUCUUACAAGUAUGAUUGCAACUCUUAUGCUGGAUGCUGUCUUCCGCGUAACCCAUACGGCAGAGUAAAAUAUUACUGCACAAACAAAUACAGCUGUCCUGACGAUUUUUAUUAUUAUAACAACAAAGGCUACUAUUAUUAUAAUAAGAAAGAUUA